rnacentral:misc_RNA from 1 species
UUUCCGUAGGUGAACUGCGAAGGAUCAUUAAAAAUUGACUCCAUUGGUGAGUUCAUUAAUAAUCCUACCUUGUGAAUUUGUUUGUUUGAAUAAUUUUUUUCCAAAAAAUUAUUGAAUGUCUUUCCUGUUUUGGUGGAGCUUGUAAAGUGAAACCAGGCAGGGAAUGGCAACAAUAAUUAUUUUGAAAAAGACUUUUUUAAAAUUAAACUUUUGUAUUCAUUGUCUAAAUUAUUUUAUAAUAUAAAAACACUUUUGACAAUGGAUCUCUUGUUCUCGCAACGAUGAAGAACGCAGCAAAAUGCGAUAAGUAGUGUGAAUUGCAGAAUACGUGAAUCAUCGAAUCUUCGAACGCAUAUUGCACUUUUUAGUUUACUAAAAAGUAUGUCUGUUUGAGUAUCAGUAAAAUAUUCUCAUAAAAAUUUAUUUUUUAUGGUAUGAUGUUUACAACGAUAAAGUUGUUUCACUUAAAUUCUUGUUAUCAAAAAAUCAUUAAAGCUAAUUUAAAGAUUUUUAAAUUGAAUAAAAUUUUCCCGUAAAAAGGAAUAACCUAAACAAUUUAAAAAUUAAAAUUGUUUGAUUUUCUUGAUUUAAAAGGAAAAAAGUAAAAAUUAACUUGAUCUCAAAUCAGAUAAGAGUACCGCUGAACUUAAGCAUAUCAAUAAGCGGAGGAAAAGAACUAACUAGGAUUCCUCAGUAACGGCGAGUGAAGCGGAAGAGCUCAAAUUUGAAAUCUUCAAGGUUUACCUUGACGAAUUGUAGUUUAAAGAAGUGUUUCUGUUGGAGUUUUGGUAAAGUUCUUUGGAAAAGACAUCAUAGAGGUGAGAAUCCCGUAUUUGACCAUUAUCUCCAGCUUUGUGAUACACUUUCAAAGAGUCGAUGUUUGGGAAUGCAGUCCAAAUGGUGGUAAAUUUCAUCUAAAGCUAAUACUGGCGAGAGACGAUAGCGAACAAGUACGUGAGGGAAAGAUGAAAGAACUUUGAAAAGAGUUAAACAGUACGUGAAAUUGUCAAAAGGGAAGCGUUGACACCAGUGUUGUUUUCUCGAAAAUCAAUUAAAAAGCGGAUUUGUGUGUAUGACUUUAUCAGCUUUCUGCACUUUUUCUUGUCUUUUUGGUGCACUUUUCGUUUAACAAGUCAACUCAAUUUCUUUGUUGUAAAGGUCAUUGGAAGGUGGCUUCUUUCGGAGAAAGUGUUUAUAGCUUUGCCUCUGCAAUCGGAGAGAUUGAGUCUGCAGCGUAGAUCCUUCGGGUUAGAUACAUUUGUGCUAAGUUAUAGCCUUUCAUAGACAGCUUGUUGACUAUGAUCAGUCAUGUAGCUUACUCGCUUAUGCUAUUUACCUACGCUUAGGAUGUUG